UUGUAGCUAGCCAGUUUAGGCGUCUUCACAGUCGGCAAGUUCAACACACCUUCCGUUUUUACUCACAACAGUGGAGGACAUGGGCAGCUUGCUUUAUUCAAGCUGCAUGGCGGCGCUAUUCCAAAAGGAAGAAUAUGGAGCUACGUAAGAAGGAAGAGGAAGCAGAAGCAGAUGAAGCCCAGAGCAAUGCUAGUGGAGGUUCGUACAGCAUUGGUGCUACCUUUUUGGCUACAAGG
rnacentral:misc_RNA from 1 species